GACACUCAGUUAAGUCUGAAUUUCAGAUAAACACCAAAUAUUUUUAAGUAUGUACAUGUCUCCCAUGCAAUAUUGGGGACAUACUUAUACUAAAAAAUUAUUUGUUAUUUAUCUGAAAUUCAAGAUUAAAUGAGAGUCCUAUAUUUU
rnacentral:miRNA from 1 species